GACGAACGCUGGCGGCGUGCUUAACACAUGCAAGUCGAACGGAAAGGCCCUGCUUUUGUGGGGUGCUCGAGUGGCGAACGGGUGAGUAACACGUGAGUAACCUGCCCUUGACUUUGGGAUAACUUCAGGAAACUGGGGCUAAUACCGGAUAGGAGCUCCUGCUGCAUGGGGGGGGUUGGAAAGUUUCGGCGGUGGGGGAUGGACUCGCGGCUUAUUAGCUUGUUGGUUGGGUAGUGGCUUACCAAGGCUUUGGCGGGUAGCCGGCCUGAGAGGGUGACCGGCCACAUGGGGACUGAGAGACGGCCCAGACGCCUACGGGAGGCAGCAGGGGGGAAUAUUGCACAAUGGGCGGAAGCCUGAUGCAGCAACGCCGCGUGCGGGAUGACGGCCUUCGGGUUGUAAACCGCUUUCGCCUGUGACGAAGCGUGAGUGACGGUAAUGGGUAAAGAAGCACCGGCUAACUACGUG
rnacentral:rRNA from 1 species